rnacentral:rRNA from 1 species
GACGAACGCUGGCGGCGUGCUUAACACAUGCAAGUCGAACGGAAAGGCCCUGCUUUUGUGGGGUGCUCGAGUGGCGAACGGGUGAGUAACACGUGAGUAACCUGCCCUUGACUUUGGGAUAACUUCAGGAAACUGGGGCUAAUACCGGAUAGGAGCUCCUGCUGCAUGGUGGGGGUUGGAAAGUUUCGGCGGUUGGGGAUGGACUCGCGGCUUAUCAGCUUGUUGGGAGGGUAGUGGCUUACCAAGGCUUUGACGGGUAGCCGGCCUGAGAGGGUGACCGGCCACAUUGGGACUGAGAUACGGCCCAGACUCCUACGGGAGGCAGCAGUGGGGAAUAUUGCACAAUGGGCGGAAGCCUGAUGCAGCAACGCCGCGUGCGGGAUGACGGCCUUCGGGUUGUAAACCGCUUUCGCCUGUGACGAAGCGUGAGUGACGGUAAUGGGUAAAGAAGCACCGGCUAACUACGUG